rnacentral:lncRNA from 1 species
GAGAAAUGGCUUGAGAAAGACAUGUUGAAGAGGAAAAAUACGUUAAGGCUUGCCAAUCAGCUGACUGCAGCAGCAGCAGCAGCAGCAGCAGCAGCAGUGAUGCACAGAUCUGAUCUGCGUUGGCAAUAUACUUGUAAUUCGGACAUGCAUCUCCAGGACACCAGCCUUAGCAGGAAGGGGAGCCAAUCAAGGGGAAACAAUUAUGCAAAUUUAAAAUGUAAACUCUCUGGAGCCCCUGCCACAACCUGGUAAGAGGAUAAAGGUCUGCUUUCCAUUCCUUUCUCUAGUGACAGCAAGCUCUCUUCCCACAUAUCUUCUAGGGAGAUUCCUAAGUCAUUUAAGCAUCUGCAAAAUGGCCCCAUGGACACGUGGUUUGGAAUGAGGAUUUAUGGGUAAUUAUAUCUAAAAAACUCUUAUUUUUCAUGGUACUCAUGAAGCCACUCAGUCUCCUACAUUUUUUUAAUCUAGUGAUUUAGGGACUGUGUCAAAUGUUCACCAAAGGACAUUCAGAUCAUUCAUUCAUUCAACAAGCGUUUAGUAAUGUAUAUUGCAAAAUUGCUGACAGUAGAUUUUAAAUGUUCACACUCCUCCCAGAAUGAUAAGUAUGUGAGGUGAUGGACAUGUUAAUUAGUUUGAUU